rnacentral:lncRNA from 1 species
CAAUUUGAGUACUCAUACAUAAUUUUUGGAGUUCGGGAAGGGUUCCAACCGGAUAGGAUAAGUCAUGAAAACGUUACUGUCAGAAGGACUAGCGCCCAAGGGUAACUUACUCUUUCUUUUCAAGACAAAACGUUGGAACCACAUGGGAAUUGCGUGGAAAGGUAGGGAAUCUGAUCCAGAUCCAACAUUUUGGUCCCUUGAGCAUGAGAGGAGCAUGGGAAGACCUACUUUACAAAAUUAAAUGGUUGUUUGUGAUGGGGAGGGGUCCUUGGUUGUCUAGGCUCAUUUCUUUUAGCCUAAAAUCUGGUCUGGAGUUUUUGGGCAGAGGAAAGAGGCUCUUGGAGAGGAGAGCACGAAAAUUCUAAGUGUCCAAAGGAUGGGAGAUGACUUGGUCUAGCAAGGGGGAGAAGAGUUGCUCUCUUGGAAGAAGAAGUUGAAGUGUCCAAAAGAGAUCUUCAAGAGGUAAGGGGAGCUAACUUGUCUCUUUUAUUUUUUUGUAUGUGUAGAAUUUACUUGAUGAGUAUGUUGUUUCUUAUGGGUGGAAAUUGGGUAUUAAAGAUUUGAGAAUGAGAAAUUGAGAUUUGCAUGGUAUAAUUUCAAGAAGUUGAUUGAAUGAAUCUUUUACUACAACUUUGAUCUUUGAAUAUUGGUUAAAUUACAUGAUGGAAGUUUGGUGGGAAUUGAUGGAUCUAUGAUGAAUUGAUGGUGGAAUUUCGUUUUUGUAUGUUGGUAUGUGUGGAAGGGAAGUUUUGAAUGAAUUUGGUUAUGAAAUUGGAUUGAAAACAUGGAAGUUUAUCUCACUUUGUCAUGAAGUGCGAAAAUAGUUUGUUUUGGAUGAUUGAUGAAUUUUGGAUGGAUCAAUUGAUUUGUGAUGUGGAGAUACUUGGCAAGAUGGAAGUAUAAUGAGUAAAACAGUAAGUUAAAUGAUGUUAUAAAAAAUUAUGUGUUGAAAAUUGGUAGAUUUAAAAGUAUGUUUUGUUGAGAAAAGUUUAUAAUGAGUUGUUGGAAAAAUUCACUUGAGUAUUGUGCAUUUCCAAAUUUGUUUUUGAUGAUGGGUAAAUGGGUGAUUGGUAUGAACUGUUUUGGGGUGGAUUUAGCACAUUUUAGGGGCUGUUAGAAUGAUUAUCAUGUUGUUUAAAUGUGCUAGAAAAAAAAAAAUUUAUGGAGAAAAAUAUGUUUUAUGUGUAAUGGAAAGAGUUGAUUUUGUAUGAGAUUGGAUGUAAUGAUGUUUGUGAUAUUUGUGAUUGAUUGUGGAGUGAUACUAGACUCCAAAUAUGUUUGAAAACAUGUUAGAAGUGUCAAAUCUGAGUUGAGAAAUAAAUUUGGGCAAAACUGGACGAAAUUGGCUGCUGUCCAGGGAUGUCAGCGCUGGGCAGUGCAAGUUGUGCCGCUGGGCGUCAUUCUGCAGUACGCAGCAUGGUGCAGAAAAUGUUUUUGGAGGUUUUGGGGGUUCUGGAUGUCCGUUUUGGACGUUCUUUAGGUCGUUCUGGAGGUUUUUGACCCUUCCGGAGCCAUUGGUGAUGGUCUCCAAGCUGUUUGAGUUACCUAAGUUUCGGUAAUCAGUGUUGCCAUGAAGAAAGUUGUGAAUUUGAUUGUGAAUGAUGGAUUGAGUGAUGUGGAAAUGAGUUGUAUGUGAAUAUACUUUGUUAAGUAUGGUUGUGGAUAACUAAGUAAGUUUAAUUGAGAAUGAUGUGUCGAGAAAUACAAGGAAAGAAAUAUAUGUGAAAAUACUUUGUUAAGUAUGGUUGAGGAUAAUUAAACUGUAAGUUUAAUUGCGUUGAUAAGGAGAUGUAUGUGAAAUACUUUGUUAAGUAUGAUUAAGGAUUAUUAGAUUGUGAUUGUGAAUUGAGUUUGGAGAUGAGUAUUCUCUUGAGUAUCCGNNN